rnacentral:lncRNA from 1 species
AGGAAGGGCAAGCAUGAUUGACAGGUGCCGCAGUCUGGCUGGGCACAAAUCACCAAGCCGCCACAAAGCACUUGUAUCUUCAAACAGGAAACUUUAUUGCCUGAACUCCAACAGCACCCCACGCACACUCCCCAGGAACUCUCCCGAAUGCCACCCACGCGGCUCUUCUCUGGCACACCAACCGGAACCCACCAGGAACCCCAUGAGAACUCAACGGGAACUACAAAGUAGCAGCGCCCCCCCCCCAGGCGGACAGCAGGGCUCUAUAUACAAUUGAAUCAAUCCAGCAUCAUCUUAUUGGCUCGCCUCUCAACCAUUACUUCUGGCAAAAUGCCAGGGGCCAUUCCAACUCGGCAGUGGCUCUCAACAAACAGGCGGCCGACUUGGAGUUCUAGGUUUGCUGCACUCUGGUGAGGCUUCGAGAAGCUUGCCGACCUUCAAGCCGAACGUACAGCCUGUGAAGUGCUAUGCUUUACAGGUUCUCUCCUGGUGGGGAAGUGGACUCUGAGAGAUGACCAAGCCCUCCUGUCCCGUUUCUCGGGGAUGCUGAGCUACCUUUUAGAACAGAAGGCAGAGAGGCAAAGCGGGUGAGGACAGAGCCUGUCAGUGCACACGCCUCUGCUGUGGUCAGGUCCUGUGAGCUGUUAGACCCCUUCAGGGGAGAGUCCCCUCCAUUUACAUCAGGGGGAAGAACCCAGGAGGGACCAGCCACUGGUCAAAGCCACAUUCAGUGUCACCUGGGAAGAGACGGAAAGCAGUGGCCUCACACUGGAAGGCAAGGGAGUGAAAGCUGUUGGUUUCCUGUGUGACAAGCCCUGAUCCUUGGGGUGUCCAAACACGGCCUUGAGUGUGGCGGGGUUCUCACAAUUUGGGGUAUGACUGGUAGACCAAAGACCUUUUCCUCCUAUAAGUGUGAUAUAAUUUUACUCCCUAGAAGGUGUGGCAGGGGGAACUUUUUUCAGUCCAAAAUAUCUGUCAAGAACAAUUUUAGAGGAGAACAAGUUUCCUUAGGGAUGAGGACUUCAGAGGUCUUCGUCCAUAGAUGGCCAACACCACAGCUGUGCUGGAGGGGGGCCGAGGCUUGGCCAAAGGGCGCAGCUGAGGACAUGACAACCAGAAGGCAGAGAGAGACUAAGCUGGCUCUCCAGGGACAAAUUAUACCCCAAAUGCACGCCCCCAGGGAACCACCUUCUCUAGCCACACCCUACGGGCCGGGCCUACAGUCACAAGCCAAGUUAAUCCAUUCAAGUGGAUUUAUGCACUGCUUGGGUCAGUCCUCUCAUAACCCAGUGCUUUCACCUCCAAACUUUUUUGCAUUGUCUCACACUUGAGCUUUCCGGGGACCCCUCACAUCUGAACUCUAGCAGGAACAUCUUACAUUUAUAUCAGAUUUUGACUGAUCCUUUAACAAACACUUGGGAAUAAUGAUCCAUGGCCACGGAAGGCGAUCAGCAGAAUCCUGGGCCUCUAAGAACUGCUGUGAUCCUCUCAGCCCAACAUGACUGACCUGCUCAAAAUUCAGGGAGUGGACUUGCAGCUGACCUCUUCUUCCUUUCUUAGGACGUGACCACACUCUCCAGUGUCUGACUGCUGAUUCUCACUGCCAAUGGUGUGAGGGUGUUGGAUGCUCUGCCACCAUCUGCAAACUCUCAGUCACGGCACUGUCACGACAGUGACCUCUGGCUUUGAACCUGAAUGCCUCCACCAGACCAACUCCUCCUGGGGCAGCCUUGCCACCCCAGGAUUCCACAGAUACUUGUCUCCAUGCAAGUGUGAAUUCCACGGUAUGCGUCCAUUGCAGUGUCGGUCAACAUGGGUCAUUCCUGGGUGUGGAAGAUAUAAAAGAUGCCAGAAGGCGAAGAAAUUGUUUUUUAAAAAGAAACAAGAAAAAAAAUAUUGAUUCCUGGAAGAAAAGACUUGUCAAGGCAAUUUCUUGCAAGAGCAAACCCUUCAUUAGAAAUCAAGUUAGAGCUAAUUUUGAAGGAGCAGAUAGAUGUCUCCUGGCAUUUCCUAUUGUCGCAUCAUAUAUGGCACAUAUAGAUAAGAGCGAUUGUUUUCAGUCCCAUUUGUAUUAAAAGAAAGCUAACCAACUGAGGAAAAUCAAAUGUAAUUAGUUUUACCUAAAUUGUAGGUUUUCAGAGCAAUUAAUAAAACUGAAUGUUGAAAGCUGCUUGUUAAGCAAAUCAAAGAUCAAGGAAUAUAUUUUCUUUAUUAAAUGUCACUCCUAUGUAAACCAACCUACACAAAUCAUUUUGAAAUACAGCACAUGCGAAACUGGAAUAUUUCGCUGCAGUACUACUUAGGCAAUCCACAGACUGUCUCGAUGCCAACCACAAUGUGAAGUGGCUACUCCGUGUCCACUUCUGACCGCUGAACAGGUAGGAGGCACAGCGGCCGACUCUGGGUCCACUCAGCUUUUCCCCGUCCCCACGGACAGGAACAAAUGCUUCACCACUGGAGCCUGGCUCUCGCUGUCCAUAAAACUAGUCUUGAUUUGGACCCAUGGAGCAGGAGGAAUUCCUGUGACGUCACAUGUAAGGCAUUUAGUGCACUGCUAUUCCCAGGGCCUAAGCCCAGUAGAUGCUGGGGACCAUCACUGCAUUCAUGCCAUUUUGGUUGGGCUGAUAGGAU